AGGACGAACGCUGGCGGCGUGCUUAACACAUGCAAGUCGAGCGGAAAGGCCCUUCGGGGUACUCGAGCGGCGAACGGGUGAGUAACACGUGAGUAACCUGCCCUGGACUUUGGGAUAACCCUCGGAAACGGGGGCUAAUACCGAAUAUGACCCGAUACCGCAUGGUGAUGGGUGGAAAGUUUUUCGGUCUGGGAUGGGCUCGCGGCCUAUCAGCUUGUUGGUGGGGUGAUGGCCUACCAAGGCGACGACGGGUAGCCGGCCUGAGAGGGCGACCGGCCACACUGGGACUGAGACACGGCCCAGACUCCUACGGGAGGCAGCAGUGGGGAAUAUUGCACAAUGGGCGGAAGCCUGAUGCAGCGACGCCGCGUGAGGGAUGACGGCCUUCGGGUUGUAAACCUCUUUCAGCUCUGACGAAGCGCAAGUGACGGUAGGAGCAGAAGAAGCACCGGCCAACUACGUGCCAGCAGCCGC
rnacentral:rRNA from 1 species